AUGUGAGACGUGAGUCAAAAGGAAUUAGGAUGAGGUUGCGAAGGGGGAGAAAAUGAGAGGAUGAUAUAUAGUGGUAGGGAUAUAUAGAAAAGGAGGAAGAAGUUAAUAGGAAAAGAGAGAUGUCGUUUAAUUAAUUAGGGAAUAAAGAAGAAGAAAGGGAGAGGAAGAAAAAGAGGAGGAGAAGGAAUAGGCAUGUGGUGCCUUGGCUAAUGUAAACGGUACCAAAGGAAUGGAACGAGAGAGAGAGAGAGAGAGAGAGAGAGAGAGAGAGUGGAAAGUGGUUGGU
rnacentral:lncRNA from 1 species